GAUGAACGCUGGCGGCGUGCUUAACACAUGCAAGUCGAACGGGAUCGGCUGGAGCUUGCUCCGGCCGUGAGAGUGGCGAACGGGUGAGUAAUGCGUGACCGACCUGCCCCAUACACCGGAAUAGCUCCUGGAAACGGGUGGUAAUGCCGGAUGCUCCAGUUGGAUGCAUGUCCUUCUGGGAAAGAUUCAUCGGUAUGGGAUGGGGUCGCGUCCUAUCAGCUUGAUGGCGGGGUAACGGCCCACCAUGGCUUCGACGGGUAGCCGGCCUGAGAGGGCGACCGGCCACAUUGGGACUGAGAUACGGCCCAGACUCCUACGGGAGGCAGCAGUGGGGAAUAUUGCACAAUGGGCGCAAGCCUGAUGCAGCGACGCCGCGUGCGGGAUGACGGCCUUCGGGUUGUAAACCGCUUUUGACUGGGAGCAAGCCCUUCGGGGUGAGUGUACCUUUCGAAUAAGCACCGGCUAACUACGUGCCAGCAGCCGCGGUAAUACGUAGGGUGCAAGCGUUAUCCGGAAUUAUUGGGCGUAAAGGGCUCGUAGGCGGUUCGUCGCGUCCGGUGUGAAAGUCCAUCGCUUAACGGUGGAUUCGCGCCGGGUACGGGCGGGCUUGAGUGCGGUAGGGGAGACUGGAAUUCCCGGUGUAACGGUGGAAUGUGUAGAUAUCGGGAAGAACACCAAUGGCGAAGGCAGGUCUCUGGGCCGUCACUGACGCUGAGGAGCGAAAGCGUGGGGAGCGAACAGGAUGAGAUACCCUGGUAGUCCACGCCGUAAACGG
rnacentral:rRNA from 1 species